GACAAGGAGAUGGGGCCUCAGCAUAACUGACUUAAUCACUGUUGGAUAAUAAUUGACAGGACAACACCUAAACCUACUGCUCCAAAUUCCUAAUCUGCAGAGAGUCCUGACUUUUGUCCAGUCUCUCCCUCUGACGUCAUCUACAUUCUUAUGAGGAACUGUUUCCUGUGUGAGAGACAUCCAUGGGUCCCAAGUUUUACCUUUCCGGUUUUCACACUUGUCUUAGUCACUGCUCUGUUGCCAUGGAGACACCAUGACCACCGCACCGCUUAAAAAAGAAAGCACUGAAUUGGUGGCUCACUUAUGGUUUCAGAGGUUUAGUCCACGAUCAUCAUGGCGGGAGCAUGGCAGCAGCCAGCAGAGGGCAGCAUGUCCCAGAAGUUGAAGGAGAGGCCCCUUGGAAGAGCUAUAAUACACACUAACUUGAGCUUGUGUUCCACCAGAUUCUGGAAUGAAGGAGAAGAAAGGCAAAAAGGCACAGUUCUGCCCAAACCCCGCCGCUGAGAGCCUGCGAACCAUCGACAGGCAGGGGCAUUGAGAGCCUGGAGGUCAUCGGGCACUCGGGAGCCAUGGAGAUGAAGUCAUCAGCGUGUAUAGAUUCUGAAUGCAAAGCCAGGAGAUGAAGACAAGCGAGGGCAGAAGGUUAGGCUUAUCGCCCUAAUGUAGGAUUGGUGUGGACCGCAUGGUGAUCAUCACUGCUUGACAAAGCUCCAGCAUUUCGCCUUUCGGAUCACACUUCUCCAGCAGCCUCUUCCUUUCCUUUGUAAUGAUUCCCACUGUGUGUUGUGGGAGUUCCCUUAGGCCUUUUCCUGUGGGAAAUUUUGUGUGGGCUUUGAAGGGUGAAAACGUAUAAAAUAGCAGCCUCUUUAAGCAAUAUAUAGAGGCUGGAGGGAGAUGGAGUCUUCUCUGCUCCAGUGUGCCGACCUGUCACAUUUUCAGACAUGUAAUUAAAGUAUGCUCUGUUCCCAGGACAAAAAAAAAAAAAAAAAGCAAUAUACAUAAUUCUUGGGGAAAAAAAUCCCCGCCACCAUGGAACCAUAUGGUGUGAUGACUCUUGCACACAGGAAUCCCAUUGUGCCCUCCUGAUUACACCAAGAACAGGAAUGUUAGAGAUUUACUAGACACACCUGAUCCCAGGGAUGAAACACCUACAGCUCAGAUCGAGAGCUUGAAGCCAUUAAGGGCAAGAGUUCAGUUAAUAAGCACAGAGAAAUCAGAAUGGUACGGUAUAAUGGGAAAAGAAUAAGACAUCAGGACCUUCCCCUUUGGUGGCAUAUGAGGGGAACAGGCCCAUAUAGUAAGACUAAGACACAAAGGGAUGUGAUUAUGGACCAGCUCAGUAUUUAUGCUGUAUCGUGCCCCGUGAAGAAUGAAAACGGCUUUAAAUUGUAGUGGUGUGUCUGAUCCCCAGAGGAAGUCUUUUUCCCAAGGUCAGGCAUUCGGAUAAGGGUCCCCAUGCCCUCAGGGGCUUGAGGAAAGUUCCUGCUUGCUAAAAGCAGUCAUUUUCCUUAUCUCUGGCAGGAGGAACUUGUGGUCCUUCCAUUGAUGUAAGAGUGCCUUGGUGGAGCUACUGAACCUUUGGGAACAAUAAGCAUUUAGAUACUUGCUGAACUUAACUUUUGUCUCGGGGAAAAAUGCUGUAAUAAAGUUAAUGGCUGCUUUCAUCCUUGAA